rnacentral:rRNA from 1 species
UACGGGGGGUGCGAGCGUUGUCCGGAAUCACUGGGCGUAAAGGGCGCGUAGGUGGUUUGAUAAGGGUGUGGUGAAAAGUCCGGGGCUCAACCCCGGAUCUGCCGUGCCGACUGUCAAACUCGAGGGCUGUAGAGGCAGACGGAAUUCCGGGUGUAGCGGUGGAAUGCGUAGAGAUCCGGAGGAAGACCGGUGGCGAAGGCGGCCUGCUGGGCAGUUCUGACACUGAGGCGCGACAGCGUGGGGAGCAAACAGG